AAGGAUCAUUAGCAAAUCCGCCCACAGUGUGUAAAAGCGCUGUGGACAUGAGUGCGGAGAGGGGCUGAGCCCCUCGCCAAAACACACAAAUCAUUACAUGUGGACAGACAAUCAGAAUCAACAUUUUACAACUUUUAACAAUGGAUCUCUAGGCUCUU
rnacentral:misc_RNA from 1 species